CCACAACAUAAUGGGAACAUGUAUUAAUUCUUAAGCAUAAUUUAUCUCACUGUCUAGUUUCCUAUGACAUGAAGUUUUAGGAUAGCUGGUCGCUUGAAAUGCUUUGAGACCUUGUUUAUGAUAUUCUUGUUUGGUUCUUUUACUGUAAAGCUAUUAGAUAAUUCUUAGUCCUUACCUUCCUAGUGACACAUUUCUAUUUAUGCUAUGAUGCAUUCCAAUUUUCUUACUUAAUUUAUUUCUGCACAUACCUUUUUUCUCUUGAUUUCCUUAUUGUAAACUAACCUGCCCCCCUCUCUUUCCCUACUUCCUUUGGGGUUUGAAAAAGCUAUCUUAAAAGUCAUCUUUUAAUUGUUAUGAUGUGUUUUAAUCUUUUCUUUUCUGGAAUUACUGAGCUUGUUUUUUUUCUUUUUUGUUUCUUGUUGUUUCCAGUUUUAUGGUGCAACAACAUUUUUCAUUCAUAGAUCAGACUUUAGUGUCUCCUUGAUUAUGCUUUAUAUGAAGGUAAGAGCUUAAUGGCUCUUUAGUGUCUUGUUUGUUUUGUUUCAGUAUGGAGCUCUCAGAAGGAAAAUUGGAUUCCAGUGUGGCGGACCUCGAGAGAGAAGCUUACCCUGUUUUGGACGAACUGGGUAGAAAUAGAGGACGCUAACAUCUAUUCUCUUGACAGAUUAGUGGGUAGUUAAAAUCCUUGCAAAUUGUUGCAAGCUUGACAGCAGAAAGAGAUGGUGAAAUUAGAAAAGCUGCUUUGAAUACUCUUGUCACUGGAUAUAAGAUUCUUGGUGAGGAUAUAUGGAGGUAUGUUGGGAAGCUAACAGAUGCUCAGAAAAGCAUGUUGGAUGAUAGGUUUAAAUGGAAGGUUAGUAUAUAUUUGAGCUUAGAAUUUAAAGUAAGGUAAACUUUUAAAUUUGUUUUGGGAUUAAAUGAUCUGUUUCUAUUAUCCAUUCCAUCCUUCUAAUGAUAUUGCAUCUUUUAGGUUCGAGAAAUGGAAAAAUGGAAGGAAGGGAAGCCUGGCGAAGCUAGAGUUGCUUUGAGACGUUCUGUGAGGGAAAUUGGAUUGGAUGUAGCAGAGCAAAGUGGAGAGGUUACAUGAUCUGUCUCUGGCCCAGUACUUCCAAGGUAUUAGAGACUCAGCUUGACAGAAGCAUCAUCUAGAUCUUGUAAAUAUGUUCUCAACACCCUCAUGCAGACAUUUCAAAACAAGAGACUGACUUAUGCUGUCAAGGAAAGCACUCUUGAUAGUCUAAUUACUGAGCUCCUUCUAUGGCUGUUGGAUGAGAGAGUUCCACAUAUGGAUGAUGGCAGCCAGCUUUUAAAAGCUUUGAAUGUUCUGAUGCUAAAGAUUCUGGAUAAUGCAGAUCGAACUUCAUCCU